UACGUAGGGUGCGAGCGUUGUCCGGAAUUAUUGGGCGUAAAGAGCUUGUAGGCGGCUUGUUGCGUCUGCUGUGAAAAUCCGAGGCUCAACCUCGGACUUGCAGUGGGUACGGGCAGGCUAGAGUGUGGUAGGGGAGACUGGAAUUCCUGGUGUAGCGGUGAAAUGCGCAGAUAUCAGGAGGAACACCGAUGGCGAAGGCAGGUCUCUGGGCCACUACUGACGCUGAGAAGCGAAAGCAUGGGGAGCGAACAGG
rnacentral:rRNA from 1 species